rnacentral:rRNA from 1 species
UCGCCUGUUUAUCAAAAACAUGGUUUCUUGUUUAGUAUUUAAGAAAUCUGGCCUGCCCCUGAAAAGUUUUAAAGGGCCGCAGUAUAUUGACUGUGCGAAGGUAGCAUAAUAAUUAGUCUUUUAAUUAAAGGCUUGUAUGAAUGGUUAAAUGAAGUGAAUACUGUUUUAUAUUAUAUUUUUGAAUUUAGAUUUUAAGUAAAAAUACUUAAAUUAUAUUAAGGGACGAGAAGACCCUAUAGAGUUUAAUAAAUGUAAUUUUAUAUUGAGUUAAUAAUUAUUUUUUUUUGAUUUUUUAUGAAAUUUAUUUAAUUGGGGUGAUUAAAAGAUAUAAUAAACUCUUUUUUAUAUUUAAUAUUUAUAAAUAGUAAUGAGAUCCAUUUUUUGUGAUUUAAAGAUUAAAUUACCUUAGGGAUAACAGCAUAAUUUUCUUUAAGAGYUCAUAUCGAAAGGAAAGGUUAU